CCCGGGGCCUGGCGAGGCGGGAGCAGCGGCGGACAGCGGCAGGGAAGGAAAGCGACCAUGGCCGCCCCGCUGAUUUAUAGCCCCUCGCACCCCCUCCUGUGGCAGGAAUGAGGCAAAGCAAGGGGCAGCGGGGCAGCGCGGCAGCGCCCUUCGGCAAGGUGAAACGCUUCAGGAGGGAGUUCGCGGCCUCGGUGGUGGUGGCGGCGGCGGCGGCGGCGGCGGCGGCGGCGGCGGCGGCGGCGGCGGCGGCGGGGCUGGGGCAAAAGGGCCGGGACAAGGGGGCAAGAGGGCCCUUUUGCGCCCCGAGCCGCCCCGCGGGCCGAGCGGCAGAGGGUCAGGCCCAGCACACCGUACCCAUCCGCCUCUGUUUUGUAAGGUUUCUCUGAGGAAAUGGAGCUGAAACUAUGACUGACUCAUCUCAGCCCAUUUGAACAGAAAAAAAAGACCAACAAAGCUUUAUGAGGCAAGGAUCCCUGCAGAGACAAGUUUCACAUGGAACUAAUGUCCACCCACUUGCUACGCUGAACUAUUUUAUUGCUGUGCAAUUGCUGUGAGUAGCUGAAGAGUUGCUGGAGUGGGAGAGGUAACCUGGGGCCAGAGACAGCUGCCGUGCACGGUGUCUGCAUGGUGGCAAACCAUUCCCUGCCACCUGACCCAGCGUCUGUACCAUGGCAGGGCACGCUGCUGAAGGAAGGGUUAUAGUACCUGAGCCCACAAUAAGGCUUCCUUCGAGAUAAUUCAAUUUAUCAAUAUCUCACUAAGCGCUGUGGGAUCUUACAGAAAGAAAGGUGCUAUGUACAAAGUGUAAUGAGGUCAGUAGUUUUCAAAUGCAGCAUCAGAUUCCUUUGUUGUACAGAGCAGUAAGACACACAGCACUACUGUGCAGAAAGCUUGGAAACACACCAAAAUAGCAGUGCCUUCUCUAUUCCUAAUGUGGGCUUCCAUUCUCAUUAAAGGCUUAGACCAGCAGCAAUUCAAGUUAAUGGAUGUUUUUCCAUGGACUUCAGCAGUUAUCAGAGCAACCUUAAGCACUGUCAUUCUGCCUCAUGAAUUUAGUAUAGUCUGAAAAAGGCUCAGCUGAAGCAUCACGUCAACGUGAAAUUCAGAAAGCGCAUUAAACAUAAGCCCUAAAAGGAUGUUACCAUUCUGCUUCAGCUGUGGAAACUGAGUGACUGGACAGUCUAAGAACGGGUUAAUAGAACUGUGUGUGCAACAAGCAACACUUCUGUCUUCCACAGAGAAAAAAUAGCAUCUGUUCUGCAGACAUUUCCUGAGCAAGAAGGUUUUUAAAUUUCAUAAAGAAGGUGAAGAAAUCUUUCACUCAGAAAAUGAUCAGGUACCUGUAAUAAGGACUCCCUAAAUAUCACUUUCUAAAAUGCAGCAAUGACUGGCCUGUUGCAAAGUAAUCUAUGAGCUCCUUCCAGUACUUCUCUGAACAGCAUUUGGACACAAAUCAUGUAGAGGAUCUGUGUUUUAAGGACACACUGAAUGCAUCGACUCACUAGUAUAUCUAACUCAAUAACUCCGUCCUCCUCCUUUUCAUGUUCCUCAACAGAUUAUGUCAAUUCUCUCACAGAUUUCUAUCUUGCUUUUACAACUCUGAUUGUUGCUUAGAGUCCUGUCUACCUAACUACUAGUUACUCAUAAAAAUGCUCUGUGCUAUCUUUCACUAAGCACUGGAAUUUUUUGGUUUAUCCUUGAAAAACACUAUAGGACUUUGCCUGAAAUUGCAUAAA